AGGAUUAAUAUUAUAUUUAGGAAUAUUUUAUUCCAACAGUAAGGGAAGGAUUAAGGAUUAAUAUUUUCAGUAAGGGAAUAUUUUAUUUCAACACGUGUCAUUCUUCUCACAUGUGAGUUGUGACUAGCUAUGUGAGUAUUUUAAAAAUAUUCUUCAUGUGGCUCUUCAUAUGAUAAGUCAUUAACAUCGACAUCAUCAUGUGGCUCUUCAUCAUCUUGUGGCUCUUCAUUGACAUCGACUUCAUCGUCGUAAUACAUCUCAUCAUUCUCUUGGUAUAAGCAGUCAUCGUCAUUCCUAAUUGUGAUUGGAUAAAAUCUGAAUGGAAAAAUAACAAAAAUUAAAAAACAGUAAGGGAAAUAGGGAAAAGGAAUUAAGGAUUAAUAUUAUAUUUAGGGAUAUUUUAUUCCAACAACAGUAAGGGAAUGAUUAAGGAUUAAUAUUUUCAGUAAGAGAAUAUUUUAUUUCAACAUAUGUCAUUUUUCUCCAAGCUUUUUCAGGCAGCCAGGCGACCGCAUAUGCUACCUAAUAUGCGACAUUUUUUUUAUUUAUUUUUUUUACUUACAAAAAAGUGAAAAAACCCUUAAAGUAUUUGAUAAAAACCUCCGGCGAGCUUGAAGGAGAGGUCCGGCGAGAUCACAGGAGCUUCGGCGAGGUGAGAAGAGAGGAGGAAGAAAUGGAUUUCCGUUUUUUUUGGCAAGAGGGAGGGUGGCAACGGUUAGAUUUUCAGAUUUAGAGUUUUUUUACUUAUAUAUAGGAUUUUUUAUUUUUUAUUUAAUUGAGUAUUUUUUUAAGGUCUUUAAGUUGUUACAAAAUAAUAUUAUUCAUUACAAUUUUUAAUUUUUUACUUGGGUAAAUGGGUUGGGUGGUCGGAUCUGGCUAAGCCCCAUAAAUAUGCGACCCCCCAAAUAUGCGAUGGGGGGAUUGCGCCUGGUCGCAUAUACGACAAAUCAAAAACCUUGUUCUUCUCACAUGUGAGUUGUGACUAUGUGAGUAUUUUAAAAAUAUUCACAGUAGACAUCAUCAUGUGGCUCUUCAUCAUGUGAUAAGUCAUUGGCAUCGACAUCAUCAUGUGACUCUUCAUCAUGUGAUAAGUCAUUGGCAUCGACAUCAUCAUGUGGCUCUUCAUCAUCUUGUGGCUCUUCAUUGACAUCGACUUCAUCGUCGUAAUACAUCUUAUCAUUCUCUUGGUAUAAAACAUCGUCAUCCCUAAUUGUGAUUGGAUAAAAUCUGAAUGGAAAAGCAACAAAAAUUAAAAAAUAGUAAGAAAAAUAGGGAAAAGGAAUAAGGAAUUAAGGAUUAAUAUUAUAUUUAAGGAUAUUUUAUUUCAACAGUAAGGGAAGGAUUAAAGAUUAAUAUUUUCAGUAAAGGAAUAUUUUAU
rnacentral:lncRNA from 1 species